GUUCUCGUCCGAUCACCGAAGUUAAGCAUUGUCGGGCGCGGUUAGUACUUGGAUGGGGGACCGCUUGGGAACACCGCGUGUUGUUGGCA
rfam:Megaselia scalaris, Durham, NC isolate 2 -- Noor lab, WGS project CAQQ02000000 data, contig: ctg0000257943